GAGGUGGGAGGGUCCGCUCUACCGCUCCGCCGCCGAGCCCCUUCCAGCCAUGGCGGGCUUCUCCGCGAAGAAACGUCUGUCCAAGCCCUUGUUGUUUGGGGGCAUCUUCUGUGCCUUGGCGACCGCCUUCGUGUACAGACAUCGUUUUUUCCCUGAGGUAGAGGAGAUCCGUGCCCGGGAGUAUGAGUACUAUGAAAAGAAACGCCUGGAGGUGCUGCAGAGGCGUCAGCAGCAACUGGCUGAGCUGGCGCAGAAGAAAACAGCCCCGUAGCUGGCCUUUUACUGCUGAGGAAAGACAGAGACCUGACUAAAUGGACUAGAUGACUAUGCUCCCAUGCCAUUGGUUCUUACAGGCGUGUUUGGGCUUGGACUACUCAGUGGGGUUUGAGCAAGUCAUAUCUUAAUUAACUUGAGAGUUCUUGGGAGAGAGCAUGUAAUGUCCAUAAGAAUAAGGAUUUGAGUCUGAGGGAACCUAAGAUUACGUAUUGGUUCUUGCAUUGAUUUUUUACGCAACUUUUAGCAUAUGAUUUAAAACAAGUAGUCUUGCCACGACUCCAAAAGUUUGCCAUGUUUUGGUGAGUCUUAUUAUUAUUAUUAUUAUUAUUAUUAUAUAUGAGUUUUUUGGUUUUUGGUUUUGCUGGUAAUCAUGUAAAAAGGUAAAGAUAAAGGACCCCUGACAGUUAAGUCCAGUCGUGAAAUAUAUCCCUGCUUUCAGACAAUAUUUCAGAGAUGAACAAUAUUCUUGCUUCCUAUGCAGAAACUCCUAGGCCACUGUUCAGACAAAUGAAUGUCUAUUUCUGGCGUGUGUCUGCUUAAUCACUGAAUGAAGCACAAUUGUUUAUUUUGAAACAUGAAUGAAUUCCUGCAGUUGGAUCAUAGCUGUAAAAGUGAUUGUGAACUAAAAUGAUGCGCUGAUGCAAAUAUAUUACCCAAAUUCUUUGUAAUUGUUUAGUGUGAAGUUUUGAAUCAAUUCUACAUAUAGCUAUACUCGGUUCUACUGACUUCAAGGUAGCUUACUUCUAGGUAACUGGGUAUAAAUUUGCAGCCUAAGCAGUCCACUGAGACAGCCAGUAAUUUCUUAGUGCCCUGCAAGGUGGGUGGGAUUUGAGAACUGCUGUCCUCAAAUUUCCAUUUCAAAAGCUUGGACAAUAAAUUGUAGGAACAAUUGUGUCUCCCUGCAAGCACCUGUAAUGAUUGCAGCCACUGUCUUCCCAGUACAAGUUAACGGAGCAACAGUCCCUUACCUUGGUUGAUUUGCUUGUGUGGAACAAGGAAGAGAAUUUGAGCCAGUCAGCCCAGUCCAAAGAGUGUCACCCUUGAUGUUCCUUUUAAUUAUCUAAGAAUCUCACCUGUUUGCUUGUAGGCUGACAAAAUUUAAGAUUUGAAGUACUCAAGAGGCAGUGGGGGAUAUGAUAAUAAGUUUUUCGGGGAAUCUGUAUAAUAAUGAAAUGUUCUGCCAUUAUCAAAAGUAUUAAAAUAAAGUUCACAAUCUUCCCCUCCA